UGGGGAAUAUUGCACAAUGGGCGAAAGCCUGAUGCAGCAACGCCGCGUGAGUGAUGAAGGCCUUCGGGUUGUAAAGCUCUGUCUUCUGGGACGAUAAUGACGGUACCGGGAGAAGAAGCUGCGGCUAACUACGUGCCAGCAGCCGCGGUAAUACGUAGGCAGCAAGCGUUGUUCGGAGUUACUGGGCGUAAAGAGUGCGUAGGCGGUUUUCUAAGUUCGGUGUGAAAUCUCCCGGCUUAACUGGGAGGGUGCGCCGAAGACUGGGAAGCUGGAGUGUGGGAAAGGCAGGCGGAAUUCCUGGUGUAGCGGUGAAAUGCGUAGAUAUCAGGAGGAACACCGGCGGUGUAGACGGCUUGCUAGACCAUAACUGACGCUGAGGCACGAAAGCGUGGGUAGCAAACA
rnacentral:rRNA from 1 species